rnacentral:rRNA from 1 species
AUGAACGCUGGCGGCGUGCCUAAUACAUGCAAGUCGAGCGAACGGACGAGAAGCUUGCUUCUCUGAUGUUAGCGGCGGACGGGUGAGUAACACGUGGAUAACCUACCUAUAAGACUGGGAUAACUUCGGGAAACCGUAGCUAAUACCGGAUAAUAUUUUGAACCGCAUGGUUCAAAAGUGAAAGACGGUCUUGCUGUCACUUAUAGAUGGGUCCGCGCUGCAUUAGCUAGUUGGUAAGGUAACGGCUUACCAAGGCAACGAUGCAUAGCCGACCUGAGAGGGUGAUCGGCCACACUGGAACUGAGACACGGUCCAGACUCCUACGGGAGGCAGCAGUAGGGAAUCUUCCGCAAUGGGCGAAAGCCUGACGGAGCAACGCCGCGUGAGUGAUGAAGGUCUUCGGAUCGUAAAACUCUGUUAUUAGGGAAGAACAUAUGUGUAAGUAACUGUGCACAUCUUGACGGUACCUAAUCAGAAAGCCACGGCUAACUACGUG